CAACACAGCUGAAGUAACUGAUGUUUUGUCACAGUCGGACAAUAAUGCCUGCUCGCUCGGAUCGUCACAGUGUUCAAUUUUCAGAGGCCGAACUGAUUAAAAAUUCAAGAGGGGGUUUUCUCUCCCGCUGCCCUCCGUACACCAUACACCUGCAACUACUCAGAAAUGCAUUUUAAAUGUGUCCUCUGGGCUGAAUGCUCGUGGUGUAUUUCCCUUGUUGACAUGUUUUGCUCGCCAAUGCCCAUUUGCAAGGAGAAACGAUCUAAAGCACCAGAAGCUGAGAGAGGAUACAGUGCUAUGGCCAUAUAGGAUCCGUCCGCAGAGUUACACAGCGAAUAGACCCAGUUGCAGUGUGUAUGCAGACUAUUUUUGAUUUCAGUUCUUUUGUGCUGCUCUUUUAGGAACUGCGAGAACAGUGAGUAAUGGAGAGAAAGCUCAGCAAUCUGCCAACAACAGAAAGCGGCAAAGACAUCAGUCCAACCAGAAUACAAAUUCCCUGGUGCCACAAUUUAUCUCAGUCUUGCAUUAUGGUGUAAUUUCAUUUAGCUGUGUUCAUACAUUUUAAUCGGGUGGCUGACGUGAGCCGUGCACGCAGCCGCCUCUUCUCUCUGCUCAUGGCUGCAGGUCUUACACACAGUUAGGUCGAUUAUUCAUGGCGGGGUGGAGCGGUGAACUCUGACCUUUGAGAACAUCUGAAACUUUGCGGCUACCACGUUGUUAGUGAGCAGACGGGCGAAGAGUAUACCCUUCCACGGCACAAAUUACUCCUCCUCCUUCCAACGUCUGGCCUCGGCUGGCCGUACCUGCAUCUGUAUGUUAGCGCCAGACUUGGCCUCAUCUCCAAAAUGACGUCAGACUCCGGAGGAUAAUAACAGCGAGCAGCACAGAGAGCAUUAAACAAACCCAUUUCAAACCAAAGCCAAGCUAAGGUGUUAGAUGGCUCUAGCUAUUCUUAGCACCGACUUGACGGGGUCUGACACAAUCACAUCUGCUCCACCCCCACUGAGGUAAAAAGCACAGAUAAAUCAAACCUACCUUUUAAGGCAGAAACACACAGGGACGCAGUGAAAAGGCAUAAGGCCUUCUGGCCCGAGAGCUGAGAAUACUCUGAGUUCGCUAAAGCUGUGAGUCAGGGCACAAAGUAGGACAGCACACGACGAUUUUGUGUUUCCAUAAUUGGCUCCCAGGGUGACCGACUGAACAUCUGCCCUACUUCAAAAGAACAAACAAACUAAAUAAGAAUAUCUAAAGAUGGAUGGUAAGCAAGCGUGCAUGCAUGAGAACAGACAAAAGUAUAUUUUCGCAAGACCGAAACACAAAGAAAGCAAAUCUAGCAGGAAGAGAGAGGGUGGGGGGGACAGAGGGACGUGAGUGCAUUACCAUAUGGUCUGCUGGAAGGGAGCUAGAGAGUUAAACAUCGUCGCACACUGAAAUAUAGUCUGAGUCAGGGGAACACGCAUCGCUAAACACAGACACAGACAAUCACACACUCACACACACACGGAGUCAGAGCCAUCUUUAAGAUCAUAUUGGGAGGACUGACCAUUCAUUAAGCUCUAUCCGUCUCACUGUAAGGCCUACGAGUGCCAAACUCAACUAUACUUCUCCAAGCGUUGCAGAAUUACAGAAAGGUCAUUUGAUAUUUUCGACACAGUGGGUGCUCGACUUCAGACAGAGGUGGACAAAAGCAGACUUCUCAUUUCUGUCCUGCUAAAACUGUCGAAUUUCGGUGGCUGAAAUGAAAAAGGUCACCAGAAGACAUGGAAAUAAAGAAACAGCAGUCAGUCUGAAGUGAUUAUUUUUGCAGGAAAAGAGGAAGUGAGACGAAGUAGCAUAAACAGUGAUGGUUGGGUUCCGCAAGUACACGACUCUGGUGACCACUGGUGAGUAUGAAACCAGAAGUCAUCAGUGGGUCAUUUUAACUUACUAAUGCAGUUAAGCUGGCAGUUAAUAAUAGGUAACAUAGGUGAUGUAGGUACAUUUGUACUGAAGUUAGAGAAGUAACGUAGUGAUUCUAACCCAAACCAUGAUGUUCUCCUGAGCCUAGCAAAGUAGUUUUAGUGCCUAAACCUGACCAAACUGCUACCAUAUGUCAAUGGUAUGUAGCUGCUACAGUCAUGUUGCUUUAGGAACAGUGACAUACUGUAUGUUGUUUUGGGAGUAAUCGACCUAUUCAGGCGUUUAUGUAUGAGGGUGCGCUGCAGACGAUGCCAUGGCAGUAAGGAAGGAAGCCUCAAAUCUGUUUUGCUGCUGAGCUGCAAAAUAACAGUUUGCUGGCAGCGCUGGUAAUCCUGACUUGAACUGACGGGUACACCGGCUUAUUUGGAGUAGCACAGACUUUCCUACCAUAAAUCACUGUACAUGAACUCAUACAAUUACAACUGGCACAGGCUGUUUAGUCCCGAGGCAGCAGAACUAGCGUGGCGUUGAGGAGAUGCAUUACACAUAAACCUCUGCUGAUAGGGGCCCUGGGCGGCGUGUACGUUCAAAUGGAGGGUUUAUGUUAAAAACGGCAUACUUUACAAUCAAGUCAAACGUAUAAAUGCAUGUGUCUAUUUUUACAGAACCACCAUCCAGGCCUCCUGUCACCAGAGUAAUAUGCCAUACAGAAGUCUGUUUUUACACCAGACUUGCUUUGCGGUUUCAGGAGCCCUUCUUUUUUUCGUUUUCUGUAAAUGGUACAAUUUUCAGACGGCUUCCUUCAGAAUUUCCACCACUUGGACAGAUGGCUUCCAUUCAUGCUGCAUUCAAACUACCUUUUGACAGCUUUUUCCAAAUUAUCUGGUUCAGACAAGGCAACUUAUCUAGAAGGGAUGAGCAGGCAAAAUGUUUUUGUUUUUUUUUGUCUCCCUAUAUUGUGUAGUUCCGUUUAGAAACAUAAUACAACUGAGACUUAAACCUCCAAAGUCUGCUGACGUGUCCCUGUGAGGAAACACGAGCCCACAGGAAAUGUGGUCAAAGGCAAACUCACGCACACACACACACACCAAGGCUCUGUAAUUAUUCCCUUAAUCCACUUUUAUCCAUUGUGUCGUGACUCUUCAUAAACCAGCAGAAGAAUCUCUGACAGACUGUAGAUAAACUCACUUUACUUUACUUUACUUUACUUUACAGCUUACUCAAGCAGCCAAUCAGUCAUCCACUCUUGUCGUUAAUGUUUUUCCUUUCUGAAACCUAGAAGCCGGUACAGCCGAGUCAGCACCUCUGCUUCCUAAAACCAAUUUCAACACGCGGUAAAAAGACACUGUUCUGUUCAGAAAAGAGUAAACACAGAUCUGCAGUUCAUUUACAGUUGAGGCUGAUGCACGACAUCAGCAUCAGGAUACUGUGACCCAAAUGUGACGGAUCCACACUCGUCUACUGUGAAUGUUUCAGGAUGAGGAUGACGUGGGUGGCCAGGAUGCCUGUGUGCGUCUACUUCAAUCUGCCCUGUGUUAAAUUUGUUUUGUAAGUCGGCAGUAAACAGCUGAGAGAGGCAGAUGGCAGGUCUAGACAGAGAUUUUGUAUCCUUCAAAACACUGAUUGUCUUUUAUUUGCUAGGACUUAUAAAUACAGUUACAGACAAUUCAACUACACAUGCACAGCUAUUUUACUUCUUUAAAACCCAUGAUUGGUAGAGCUUUCAAAAUUGGUGCAGCACAUUUCGCUCACACAACUUCAUCUGGCAUAAUGUAAGUGCAGCAUGCUGUUCUUCAUGCGGUACAUCAUCAAAACAAUAUUCACAUUGUGAAUUCCAAUUUAGACCCAUCAGCUGGUUUGCGAGUGCAGCUACCUCAGUAGCGAAAUAGCAAAAAACUUUCCCAUUCCCGUUUACACAGUCCAGCAGCAACUGGAGGUGCCCCAGCUGAAUGUCAUGGGUGGUUGUUGCAAUUAGACAUGUAAUGCAUUUAUCAUUUGUCAUUUCUCUCAUGAUUUGAAUGCCCUUCCCGCAGACCGGGCACAGGCAAACCACCACAGCCACCUGCGCUCCCUAUCAGGCCCAUUUGAAUAGUUUAGCCUGAUAACGGGACACAGAUUACCGCUGACCUGACCAGCGUCAAUGUCAUAAAACACAGCUACAGCAGCUUGCCUCUCAGCAAUGAAUUGAAUAAAAGAGGGUUUUCCUUUUUACGUUCAAACAAAAAACAGAUCUUUGCAAAGCUCUCAUCUCAGCGCCUGCCCCAUGAACAAUGGAUAUCCUUAUUCUUUUCUACUUUUCCAUGAGAGCGUGUCUUCUGCCAGGGAAGAUCUUAAGAAAAUGAUCCCCGUUUUGAGCACACACUCAGAUGCAACAUGCUGUUGUGUUUAACCACAACAAACCCACCAAUUACUGAGAGGGGAGGAUAAAAUGAGACGAAGAAUAAAUGAAGAAAAUAAAAAAAAUCAGUUCAGGAUAUAGCAGAAGGGUGAGUGGAAAACUGCUCGUUAAAGCAGCUACGUUCCUGCUACCAUCAACUUGCUUUUUUGUCUUCUUGGCACAGUCUCAGUUUUUUUAUCUCCUAGUAUCGCCACAGCUGUUUGUCUGUUCAGCCCAGCCAGUCGGUCAUUGGGUUUCCGGGCUGGCGGGUCGGACUAACUUCCUCCGACUGAUGGAAACGAAAGCUGCCAAACCAACACAACCAACCAGUCUCCUGUUUUGGAUCCAGUUGUUCUUUUUUGUUUUACAACCAUUUUCCUCUGUCUCAUCACACUUUCUUCAUCUUUCCAUCAUCAGCUGAUCCAUCUUUGUCCUUCUUGCAGGGCAUAAAUUACAGUAAGUGGUAUAACUGACCACUUGCCAAAUCCUGCCCCCCGAUAGUUGAGCUUUUUAGUCUUGCAUGACGAUGUAAAUGCUCCCUAAAGUGAUAUCUGUAGAGGAUUUACCACUCAAGUUUGCUAAUCAUUUUUAAACAAUGGGUCAUUCAUUUCAGACAGAGGCACUUCCAGUUUAUGGGGCAGAUUUUAUCAGCUGUAGCGAGCUCGCUAAUGAAGCGAAUGUUGGCUCCAUGAGAUGUUUGAAACCAUCGUCUGCGGCUGAUUUUUUUUUUAUGGCUGUAGCUGACUUGUUGUACACAUAAACCCUGUGAAAUGGUAAUAAAAUGCUUUUGAUGGUUACAUGUGACACUGCACGAAAAACUGACACUAAAGCUGCAUGUCUCAGGCAAAUGGUCGUCAAAGCCUUCCCCAAUUGAUGAUCCAUGUAGGGAACAUGGUAAUAAAGAAGCAGCAUCGUUCUUGCAUUGCAGGUCAUAGUAGGCCUAUGUGAUGACCUCCGCUGUCAUCUUGUGUUUCCUGGGUGAUUCACCUGUGUCUCUGCUGACCUGGAACACCUGAGGUAUGUUCCCAGGCUAUUUACACCUGGCUGCAGUGCAGCUCUGCCUCCCUUUUCCAUUCAAACACCCAUUAGUUUGGUGAAGUUUGUUGCCUUGCAUUGCCUGUGCAUGCCUAUUUUUUUUUGCACCUUACAACACCCUCCACAUAGCUUAGCAACCAGAACUUCAAAGCAAAUCAAGAGGGAGAGACAAAGAGCAACGCAGAAACAGGCACUGAUGGAAAACCCAAAAAGAUCCAACCAGGGCCGACUAAUCUACCCCAGUUGGGACAAAAACAUUUAGCGGGAAGACCUGACGACCAGCUGCUGAUCCCAAACCCCAUGACCUCCUGAGCCGGGUCGUAACAGCCUAUUAUUAGUAUGACUAGGAAAAAAUGUGAGGUUACAUGACCAAUUCUUGGCUUAGCUUAGCUUACAUAAUCAGACGAACAAGACAGUGGUUAUCAAUUAUCAUGUUUUCAAACAGUCACCUACGUUUCAAGAAACGGCUUUUGGGAUGAAGACUAAUGCAAUCAUGGAUAACAAGUUUGGCUGGGGUUGCCUGAGUGUAAACCUCCCUCAAUCCAAUAAAGAGCAGCACAUGGUGGCUAACGUUAGCCUACACACUGAUAUAGUAUCCAGGACCAGCUUAAGAAAAGAGGUUAAGCAAACAGAACAUCACCUGUGAAAACCUCUUCAAUAAUGCUGCAGGGAGGAAAAGUACAAGCAGAGACAGCAACAGUGAUAUGUUUGCCCAAGAGCUGCAGACAACAGGCCCUGCAAACAGCUCACCUCCGACAGGUAAACAACUUCUUUAACCCCUCGGGCUGUCUGAUGGAAAAACACUUCAUUUUACAGCCGCUUCUCUCGUUUGUAGUCGCGGCUACACUGCCUUUUCAACAUCGGCGACUCAAGACAAGUGCAUCCUCAGUUAAAUACACACCUGUUGUAAUGGUGCUGCGAUUCCAUGACGCGCUGGUCCGACGCACCAGGUCAGAAGCAGUCGAGCCAAGUCAGCACAUGCGCUUGAACAAGGGCUGCAAGAAGGGGGGGCAGCUGAAACAGUAACAGCUUCUUCUUUCAUUACACAUGCACUGUCAAAUGUCCCUUGAGCAACACACACACACACACAGGUGGAGCAGUUUAAGCAGAACAACACUGUCUCUCUCUUGGGACUCCCAGCUAUGAAGUUGUGUAACUCUAAUGUGACUGUGACGCAGUUUCUUGGUUCAAAAGAGUGUUUUGUUUUUAAUAGAACAAUGCCGUCUGUAGAUAAAUCCUUGAAAGACGCUGCUGACUUUUUCUG